rnacentral:rRNA from 1 species
ACAGAGGUGGCGAGCGUUGUUCGGAUUUACUGGGCGUAAAGGGCGCGUAGGCGGCGCGGCGUGUCGGGUGUGAAAUCCAUGGGCCCAACCCAUGAAGUGCGCCCGAAACUGCCGCGCUGGAGUGCGGGAGGGGAGGUCGGAAUGCAGGGUGUAGCGGUGAAAUGCGUUGAUAUCCUGCAGAACACCGGUGGCGAAGGCGGACCUCUGGAACGCAACUGACGCUGAGGCGCGAAAGUCGGGGGAGCAAACAG